rnacentral:rRNA from 1 species
CAGCAGCCGCGGUAAUACGAAGGGUGCAAGCGUUAAUCGGAAUUACUGGGCGUAAAGCGUGCGUAGGCGGUUUGUUAAGUCUGUUGUGAAAUCCCCGGGCUCAACCUGGGAAUGGCAAUGGAUACUGGCAAGCUAGAGUGUGUCAGAGGAUGGUGGAAUUCCCGGUGUAGCGGUGAAAUGCGUAGAGAUCGGGAGGAACAUCAGUGGCGAAGGCGGCCAUCUGGACAAAGACUGACGCUCAGGUGCGAAAGCGUGGGGAGCAAACAGGAUUAGAUACCCGCGUAGUCCCUGUCUCUUAUAA